ensembl:snRNA U6 U6 spliceosomal RNA
AUGCUCACUUUGGUAUCACAUAUACUAAACUUGGAACAAUACAGAUUAGCAUGGCCCUUGUGCAAGGAUGACGUUCAAAUUCAUGAAGCAUUCCAUAUUUUU